CGCGGCAGUCGAUGCGACGUCUGUGGCUGCUGAUACAAUCUGGUUUGCAAUGCAUCAUGGAAAUUGUAGUUGAUUUACAUGUACAGUGUUAAAUCCGCUUUGCAAAAAGACUACUUUUCCCAGAAUGCACCCAGUGACACCAUCCCGCCUACCAGAGGAUCCGGAAGUUGCGUAGCAGCUAUUCAGCAACUCAACGCAGUCGCGGUGAAAUUCAAAUAACUAAGUUAGUUGUUCUAACUUCGACAAUCACGCUGUGUUUGUUUUAUCUUUUGAAGUUUUAAUACAUGAUCAAGGUAAGUUUAUAGUUUUUCACUAUCUUAACACGUGGAUUUUAAUCUAUAGCGCAUUACUAGAUACGAUUUUUGGGGGGUUUGUGUGGUUGGAUUUUAUUUGUUUUUAUGUUGGAGAGGAAAUAGAAUUGAUGUUUGAAUUCUGUUUUUCAUUGAAAAUUAACAUUAUAGUGAAGAACAUCGGAAGCUGCUUCUUGCUGAACAACAGCUGAUCUUUCUGAGGCCACCAAAACGGAAAAUGAAAUGAAACAGGCGACUAAUGGAUGAAAAUGACCCCGAUGAGGAGGCUACUGCAGCCAUGGCAAGUAGAGAAGUUCACAAGACCUCACAGAACAUCGCAGGCAACAGGAUUUAACUUUACAGUCUCACAGACAGGCAAUACAGUCACCAUGGCAUCAUGAAACACCCAGACCACAGAGAAAAAGCCUCUCAAGUGAUGACCGAUUAAUAAGAUUACGGUGGCUGAGAGGUCUCAACAUUCUGCAACAGAAGAAAAUUGAUGCAAACAGAAAAAAAACCCUGUAAAUAAGAACAUCUUUAUCACAUGUGCUAAACACAACCAAAUACAUAAAUGCUCUCCAAAUGUCCGACCAACAAAUAUCUACUCGACAAUGGUGUUCAUUGUUUUAUUUUUAUUAUUAUUUAUUGUUUGCAUUGUAUUUGCAGCAUGUGUGUUGUGAAACUGAUGUCUUGACUUGCUGAUGUUUUUCUUGUUUGCAUGUUUUCUUCUGUUGCAGGACUUUGAGAUCUCUCGGCCAACAUAUUUUUGUUAAUUUUUGUAUCUCAUUAUUUAAGAAUGCCACA